UCUUGUUGGCAUUAAAGCCCAUGCCUCAGA
rnacentral:piRNA from 1 species